CCCUUCUUCUGUCAGGUGCAGAUAUUCAGCCAUGACCAUGAAUACCUACAGGUUGCCGUUUCCCCGUUUUGGCAUCAGCUGCCUUGGAAAUGAUUUUCUUGUGUUGUGCAAAGGAGCUCUACUGACACAGAGACUCUGCCCUGAGGGAUUUGCAGUGGAUUUACAGUCUAAUUAAUAAGGAAUAAAAGGUGACUUGUGGAAAUACUAACUGUGUUGAGAUCUGUGAUCCCUGAUCCCUGGGUGGGACAGAAGGUUGUAGUAGGUGGGGUUGGCUGCAUGUGCUCAAUGUGUGCUUGGUCCCACGGGGAUGGCCAAGAAAGGAAUGUGAAGUUUUACCAGAGCAGCUACAGCAUUUGGAGCUGGCAGUGCAGGAGCAGAGUUACGUCAUCUUCUCUCAUAUUUUUCUUACUCACAUCUGAAAGUAUGAGGAAAUAGUCUUCUUCAGAAGAGUAUUUUGAAUAUCAAUAACCUGCUUCAUUGAACAUCUCAAAAGGCUCUAUAUAGAGUCAUUAAGUGCAAUUCCUGUCACACUCAUACUCAUGGAGAAGUUGGUAACUGAGCCCAGAAGAAUACACCCAGGAGACCUGACCCCUUGAACUCUUUCUUAACCUGCAAAUUACAUUUUCCUUAAAAACAAAUAAAUGACCCUAAAAAUCCUUCAGAAGCUUUAGUUACAGAAAGAACAGCAAGAAGCACAGUCUUAGUGACAUCACAAAACCCCAUACUUAGGCUGGAACUUUUAGAAAUGUUCAAGUGCAUGUGUGGAAGCAUAACUGUAACUGUGUGGCUUUGGGAAGUCAUGGCAUGCCCAGUCUAUUACUUGCUUCAGUAGCUGGGUGCAACUAGUUCAGCAUUCAUAAAAACAGCAAACUGGCUGAGAAACAAGGAUGUGUGAAUUCAUGUGAGUACAACAUUUCUCCAAUGUCUGAUAUUUCCUCUUUGCUAAUAUGAUGAUAUCUGAGGCUGGAAGCCUGGAAAGUCUGGCAAAUCAUGCUGGCAAACUGGAAAAGUAUGACAGUAUUCUUUUGAUUCUGAACACAGAUACCUUGAUAGUAUGCAAGUGUUUUUAUUGUAGGGCACAUCAUAACUCAGAAGAGGAGGAGAGGAAACCCGAAGAGAAAAUGGAAUUAAAUAAAGUCAGAUGGCUCCCCAUAAAGAAAGAUUACCACAUUCAUGCAGUUCCAUCAUACUUUCAGACUUCUUGGAACCUCUGCAGGUACUUCUGUCAACUUACUACAAGAUCCACUUACCCUCAUUUGAGGUUUUCACAAAAUGGCAUGCAGACAUGCAUAUCAAGUCUGGGAGCAUAACAGUCUCUUCAUUUGAGAAACUACGCUCAAAAUGGAAGAAACACCAAAAGAAGCUUUGAAAUGAGACACUGCUAUCUUAUUUUCAUUUCUAUUUUUGGAGAAACUCUCUGCACAAGUUUAUACAGUUCUACUGACUUCAGGACACGCUAAAGUUAAUAGGACGAUGACAAUAGAAGAUUUGGCCCUUAGGAGAAUAUACUCAUAUCCCUAUAGUAAUAACUUAGUUCAAGGAAACAGCAGUUAUUCAUAACAUGAAAAGAACAAAUACAUGAAAUGUAAACCUACAAAGCUUCAUUUUCCCACAAAGUAAGCUUAUUGCAUAAAUCAUUACCCAUUGCAAAGAGGCAGGUUUAAUAUUAAUGAAAAGUUUGCUGUUCCUAUAUCAAUAUGUAUGUUGGACUGAUUGCCUGAG
rnacentral:lncRNA from 1 species